rnacentral:rRNA from 1 species
GAUGAACGCUGGCGGCGUGCCUAAUACAUGCAAGUCGAGCGAACGGACGAGAAGCUUGCUUCUCUGAUGUUAGCGGCGGACGGGUGAGUAACACGUGGAUAACCUACCUAUAAGACUGGGAUAACUUCGGGAAACCGGAGCUAAUACCGGAUGAUAUUUUGAACCGCAUGGUUCAAAAGUGAAAGACGGUCUUGCUGUCACUUAUAGAUGGAUCCGCGCUGCAUUAGCUAGUUGGUAAGGUAACGGCUUACCAAGGCAACGAUGCAUAGCCGACCUGAGAGGGUGAUCGGCCACACUGGAACUGAGACACGGUCCAGAUUCCUACGGGAGGCAGCAGUAGGGAAUCUUCCGCAAUGGGCGAAAGCCUGACGGAGCAACGCCGCGUGAGUGAUGAAGGUCUUCGGAUCGUAAAACUCUGUUAUUAGGGAAGAACAUAUGUGUAAGUAAAUGUGCACAUCUUGACGGUACCUAAUCAGAAAGCCACGGCUAACUACGUG